GGUUCAGGACGAACGCUGGCGGCGUGCCUAAUACAUGCAAGUCGAACGGUCUUUCUAUGGAAGCUUGCUCCACUGAGAAGAUAGUGGCGAACGGGUGAGUAACACGUGGGUAACCUGCCCAUAAGAGGGGGAUAACAUCCGGAAACGGGUGCUAAUACCGCAUAGUUUCUUGAUCGCAUGAUUGAGAAAGGAAGGACGACCUUUGUGCUGUCGCUUAUGGAUGGACCCGCGGCGUAUUAGUUAGUUGGUGAGGUAACGGCUCACCAAGACGAUGAUACGUAGCCGACCUGAGAGGGUGAUCGGCCACAUUGGGACUGAGACACGGCCCAAACUCCUACGGGAGGCAGCAGUAGGGAAUCUUCCGCAAUGGACGAAAGUCUGACGGAGCAACGCCGCGUGAGUGAAGAAAAGGGUUUUCGGAUCGUAAAACUCUGUUGUCAGAGAAGAACAAGUUGGAGAGUAACUGCUCCAGCCUUGACGGUAUCUGACCAGAAAGCCACGGCUAACUACGUGCCAGCCGCCGC
rnacentral:rRNA from 1 species